rnacentral:rRNA from 1 species
AGAGUUUGAUCAUGGCUCAGAUUGAACGCUGGCGGCAGGCCUAACACAUGCAAGUCGAGCGGAUGACGGGAGCUUGCUCCUUGAUUCAGCGGCGGACGGGUGAGUAAUGCCUAGGAAUCUGCCUGGUAGUGGGGGACAACGUUUCGAAAGGAACGCUAAUACCGCAUACGUCCUACGGGAGAAAGCAGGGGACCUUCGGGCCUUGCGCUAUCAGAUGAGCCUAGGUCGGAUUAGCUAGUUGGUGAGGUAAUGGCUCACCAAGGCGACGAUCCGUAACUGGUCUGAGAGGAUGAUCAGUCACACUGGAACUGAGACACGGUCCAGACUCCUACGGGAGGCAGCAGUGGGGAAUAUUGGACAAUGGGCGAAAGCCUGAUCCAGCCAUGGCCGCGUGUGUGAAGAAGGUCUUCGGAUUGUAAAGCACUUUAAGUUGGGAGGAAGGGCAGUAAGUUAAUACCUUGCUGUUUUGACGUUACCGACAGAAUAAGCACCGGCUAACUCUGUGCCAGCAGCCGCGGUAAUACAGAGGGUGCAAGCGUUAAUCGGAAUUACUGGGCGUAAAGCGCGCGUAGGUGGUUCGUUAAGUUGGAUGUGAAAGCCCCGGGCUCAACCUGGGAACUGCAUCCAAAACUGGCGAGCUAGAGUACGGUAGAGGGUGGUGGAAUUUCCUGUGUAGCGGUGAAAUGCGUAGAUAUAGGAAGGAACACCAGUGGCGAAGGCGACCACCUGGACUGAUACUGACACUGAGGUGCG